GGGCCCGCACAAGCGGUGGAGCAUGUGGUUUAAUUCGAUGCAACGCGAAGAACCUUACCCAGGCUUGACAUGUGUCGGACAGGUGUGGAAACACACCCUCCCUUCGGGGCCGGCGCACAGGUGCUGCAUGGCUGUCGUCAGCUCGUGUCGUGAGAUGUUGGGUUAAGUCCCGCAACGAGCGCAACCCUUGUCCUUAGUUGCCAUCAAGUCAAGUUGGGCACUCUAAGGAGACUGCCGUCGAUAAGGCGGAGGAAGGUGGGGAUGACGUCAAGUCCUCAUGGUCCUUACGCCUGGGGCUACACACGUGCUACAAUGGCCGGUACAGAGGGUUGCAAUGCCGCGAGGUGGAGCCAAUCCCACAAAACCGGCCUCAGUUCGGAUUGCAGUCUGCAACUCGACUGCAUGAAGGCGGAAUCGCUAGUAAUCGCUGAUCAGCAGGCAGCGGUGAAUAUGUUCCCGGGCCUU
rnacentral:rRNA from 1 species